rnacentral:ncRNA from 1 species
CACCCUCAUACCUCCCUGUUGGACUUGGCCGAGCUUAUGCUCGGCCUUUUUU